rnacentral:rRNA from 1 species
GCUCACCUAGGCGACGAUCCCUAGCUGGUCUGAAAGGAUGACCAGCCACACUGGAACUGAGACACGGUCCAGACUCCUACGGGAGGCAGCAGUGGGGAAUAUUGCACAAUGGGCGCAAGCCUGAUGCACCCAUGCCGCGUGUAUGAAGAAGGCCUUCGGGUUGUAAAGUACUUUCAGCGGGGAGGAAGGGAGUAAAGUUAAUACCUUUGCUCAUUGACGUUACCCGCAGAAGAAGCACCGGCUAACUCCGUGCCAGCAGCCGCGGUAAUACGAGAGGGUGCAAGCGUUAAUCGGAAUUACUGGGCGUAAAGCGCACGCAGGCGGUUUGUUAAGUCAGAUGUGAAAUCCCCGGGCUCAACCUGGGCACUGCAUCUGAUACUGGCAAGCUUGAGUCUCGUAGAGGGGGG